rnacentral:misc_RNA from 1 species
GAUGAAGAACGUAGUGAAAUGCGAUACGUAAUGUGAAUUGCAGAAUUCAGUGAAUCAUCGAAUCUUUGAACGCAUAUUGCGCUCUCUGGUAUUCCGGAGAGCAUGCUUGUUUGAGUAUCAGUAAACACCUCAACUUCCAUAUCUUUUUUGAAAUGGGAGUUGGACUUGAGUGAUCCCAACGCUUUUCCUCACCGAAAAGUGGCGGGUUACUUGAAAUGCAGGUGCAGCUGGACUUUUCUCUGAGCUAUAAGCAUAUCUAAUUAUUCUGCCUAAAAAACAGAUUAUUACCUUUGCUGCAGCUAACAUAAAGGAGAUUAGUUCUUGUGCUGACUGAUGCAGGAUUCACAAAGACAGGCUUCGGCCGACUUUGUAAACUCGAUCUCAAAUCAAGUAAGACUACCCGCUGAACUUAAGCAUAUCAAUAAGCGGAGGA